UACGAAGGGGGCUAGCGUUGCUCGGAAUCACUGGGCGUAAAGCGCACGUAGGCGGCUUCUUAAGUCAGGGGUGAAAUCCUGGAGCUCAACUCCAGAACUGCCUUUGAUACUGAGGAGCUUGAGUCCGGGAGAGGUGAGUGGAACUGCGAAGUGUAGAGGUGAAAUUCGUAGAUAUUCGCAAGAACACCAGUGGCGAAGGCGGCUCACUGGCCCGGUACUGACGCUGAGGUGCGAAAGCGUGGGGAGCAAACAGG
rnacentral:rRNA from 1 species